UGCGGAUUAAUUCGAUGCAACGCGAAGAACCUUACCAAGGCUUGACAUGUUCUCGAUCGCCGUAGAGAUACGGUUUCCCCUUUGGGGCGGGUUCACAGGUGGUGCAUGGUUGUCGUCAGCUCGUGUCGUGAGAUGUUGGGUUAAGUCCCGCAACGAGCGCAACCCUCGUUCCAUGUUGCCAGCACGUAAUGGUGGGGACUCAUGGGAGACUGCCGGGGUCAACUCGGAGGAAGGUGAGGACGACGUCAAAUCAUCAUGCCCCUUAUGUCUUGGGCUUCACGCAUGCUACAAUGGCCGGUACAAUGGGUUGCGAUACUGUGAGGUGGAGCUAAUCCCAAAAAGCCGGUCUCAGUUCGGAUUGGGGUCUGCAACUCGACCCCAUGAAGUCGGAGUCGCUAGUAAUCGCAGAUCAGCAACGCUGCGGUGAAUACGUUCCCGGGCCUUGUACACACCGCCCGUGCAAGUCACGAAAGUUGGUAACACCCGAAGCCGGUGGCCUAACCCUUGUGGGGGAGCCGUCGAACUGAUAGG
rnacentral:rRNA from 1 species